ensembl:lncRNA
CGGAGUCAUAACACUAUCUGAGUGGGUUAGUUGGACAAGAUUUCAAUGUAACUCAUCAUACCAAUGAAUCAAUAUGAUAAAGGCAAAAACAUGCCAGAGAUGCACCAUUUGAUUUGGAAUGUUUAAGACAUUCAUAUCCAUGUUUUAUUUCAACAUGUAGAGCAAAGACUGUUCCCUCUAAUGUCUUCCUUACGGGGGAUGCUGGUCAUCGUGUGCAGUAAAAGACAUUAAAGGACUGUAACAGUCAGUAUUGGAGAGUAAAUGAGUCACUGACAACAACAGACAGUAACAGUGACUGCCUGUAACAGACAGUAACAGUAACAGACAGUAACAUCAACAGACGGUAACAUCAACAGACAGUAACAUUAGCAGACGGUAACAGUGACUGCCUGUAACAGACGGUAACAUUGACAUACAGUAACAGACAGUAACAUCAACAGACGGUAACAUUAACAGACAGUAACAUCAACAGACGGUAACAUUAACAUACAGUAACAGACAGUAACAUUAACAUACAGUAAUAGACAGUACCCUCCACUCCAGAGCUGAGCCCUGCUGUUGUUGCUGUCUCUCAGUCAGAUGGCAACCUGAUCUGAACUGGCCCCUAAACCCUUUAAAGUCCAAUUCAACCUGAUCUGAACUGGCCCCUAAACCCUUUAAAGUCCAAUUCAACCUGAUCUGAACUGGCCCCUAAACACUUUAUAGUCCAAGUCAAUUAGCACAACAAUCCCCAAGCUGCAGUGAAGAAAGGCUCUGGCAACUUAGAAAUGAGUAGAAAGGCAUAAAUGUGCCAGAUUACAUGUUGAAGAAGCUCAAUGAACCAUGGUGUGGGAUUGUCUGUCUGUCUGGACAGUUGUAAGUAAGACCCCCCAGGGUUCAGAAUUUUGGAAUAGACUCCCAUUCAUCUCAUGAGUUUAAAUUCAAAAUGAACUGGCCACACCCCACAAGAUGUAGAAUUUGAGUUUGAGCCAGCAGGAAGUGGAAUGUAAUGCAGUCAAAUAAAUUCCACUCAGUCGUAGAACAUGACUGGUUCAUUGGUCACCCUUCCAGACACCCCAGAAUAUAUCACGUUUCUCUGGAAACAAUGUUCAUCUACCCUUAACCUUAAUGCCUAAAACAGAAAAUGAUAUUUUAUCUGGGAACAAUGCAGUUAUAUUAGAACCUUAUAUACUGAACCAAAAUAGAAACACAACCAUUUCAAAGAUUCUACUGAGUUACAGAUCAUAAAAGUAAAUCAGUCAAAUGAAAUAAAUAAAUUAAUAAAUUAUAAUCUAUGGAUUUCACAUGACUGGGCAGGGGUGCAGCCAUGGGUGGGCAUAGGGCCCACCCACUGGGGAGCCAGUUCGAACCAAUCGGAAUGAGUUCUUCAACACAAAAGGGCUUUUUUACAGAAGGAAAUACUCCUCAGUUUCAUCAGCUGUGCAGGUGGCUGGUCUCAGAUGAUCCCGCAGGUGUAGAAGUCGGAUGUGGAGGUCUUGGGCUGGCGUGGUUACACGUGGUUACACGUGGUUAUACGUGGUUACACGUGGUCUGCGGUUGUGAGGCCAGUUGGACGUACUGCUAAAUUCUAUUUUUUUUUUAAAUUGCCGGCAGGUUAUGGUAGAGAAAUUCAUAUUAAAUUACCUUGCAACAGCUCUGGUGGACAUUCCUGUGGUCAGCAUGCCAAUUGCACACUCCCGAAAAAAGAGAGACAUCUGUGGUAUUGUGUUGUGUGAAAAAACUGCACAUGUCAGAGUGGCCUUUUAUUGUCCCCAGCACAAGGUGCACCUGUGUAAAGAUCAUGCUGUUUAAUCAUUU